rnacentral:rRNA from 1 species
AUUGAACGCUGGCGGCAGGCCUAACACAUGCAAGUCGAGCGGUAACAGGAAUCAGCUUGCUGAUUCGCUGACGAGCGGCGGACGGGUGAGUAAUGUCUGGGAAACUGCCUGAUGGAGGGGGAUAACUACUGGAAACGGUAGCUAAUACCGCAUAACGUCUUCGGACCAAAGUGGGGGACCUUCGGGCCUCAUGCCAUCAGAUGUGCCCAGAUGGGAUUAGCUAGUAGGUGGGGAAACGGCUCACCUAGGCGACGAUCCCUAGCUGGUCUGAGGGGAUGACCAGCCACACUGGAACGGAGACACGGUGCAGACUCCUACGGGGGGCAGCAGUGGGGAAUAUUGCACAAUGGGCGCAAGCCUGAUGCAGCCAUGCCGCGUGUAUGAAGAAGGCCUUCGGGUUGUAAAGUACUUUCAGCGGGGAGGAAGGUGUUGUGGUUAAUAACCAGAGCAAUUGACGUUACCCGCAGAAGAAGCACCGGCUAACUCCGUGCCAGCAGCCGCCGCAGUAA